rnacentral:rRNA from 1 species
GACGAACGCUGGCGGCGUGCCUAAUACAUGCAAGUGGAACGCAUUUUGAUUACCGUAGCUUGCUACACCGAUUAAAAUGAGUCGCGAACGGGUGAGUAACGCGUAGGUAACCUACCUCAUAGCGGGGGACAACUAUUGGAAACGAUAGCUAAUACCGCAUAAGACAUUUUAUCGCAUGAUAGGAUGUUAAAAGAUGCAACUGCAUCACUAUGAGAUGGACCUGCGUUGUAUUAGCUAGUUGGUGAGGUAACGGCUCACCAAGGCUGCGAUACAUAGCCGACCUGAGAGGGUGAUCGGCCACACUGGGACUGAGACACGGCCCAGACUCCUACGGGAGGCAGCAGUAGGGAAUCUUCGGCAAUGGGGGCAACCCUGACCGAGCAACGCCGCGUGAGUGAAGAAGGUUUUCGGAUCGUAAAGCUCUGUUGUAAGCGAAGAACAGUGAUAGGAGUGGAAAAUCUAUCACAUGACGGUAGCUUACCAGAAAGGGACGGCUAACUACGUGCCAGCAGCCGCGGUAAUACGUAGGUCUCGAGCGUUGUCCGGAUUUAUUGGGCGUAAAGCGAGCGCAGGCGGUUAGAUAAGUCAGAAGUUAAAGGCUGUGGCUCAACCAUAGUACGCUUUUGAAACUGUUUAACUUGAGUGCAGAAGGGGAGAGUGGAAUUCCAUGUGUAGCGGUGAAAUGCGUAGAUAUAUGGAGGAACACCGGUGGCGAAAGCGGCUCUCUGGUCUGUCACUGACGCUGAGGCUCGAAAGCGUGGGUAGCGAACAGGAUUAGAUACCCUGGUAGUCCACGCCGUAAACGAUGAGUGCUAGGUGUUAGGCCCUUUCCGGGGCUUAGUGCCGCAGCUAACGCAUUAAGCACUCCGCCUGGGGAGUACGACCGCAAGGUUGAAACUCAAAGGAAUUGACGGGGGCCCGCACAAGCGGUGGAGCAUGUGGUUUAAUUCGAAGCAACGCGAAGAACCUUACCAGGUCUUGACAUCCCUCUGACCGGUCUAGAGAUAGACUUUCCCUUCGGGGCAGAGGAGACAGGUGGUGCAUGGUUGUCGUCAGCUCGUGUCGUGAGAUGUUGGGUUAAGUCCCGCAACGAGCGCAACCCUUAUUGUUAGUUGCCAUCAUUAAGUUGGGCACUCUAGCGAGACUGCCGGUAAUAAACCGGAGGAAGGUGGGGAUGACGUCAAAUCAUCAUGCCCCUUAUGACCUGGGCUACACACGUGCUACAAUGGUUGGUACAACGAGUCGCAAGCCGGUGACGGCAAGCUAAUCUCUUAAAGCUAAUCUCAGUUCGGAUUGUAGGCUGCAACUCGCCUACAUGAAGUCGGAAUCGCUAGUAAUCGCGGAUCAGCACGCCGCGGUGAAUACGUUCCCGGGCCU